GUGAGGAGCACCUCUGCCCGGCCGCCCUGUCCAGGAGUCCCUCACACAGUGCAGCUUAGUGGAGAAGCACAUGGCCUGUAGAAUCAGAUGGAACCAUGUGAGGUUUGGGACCACAAGUGGAUACACAAAACAGGAAUCCUCUCCAAUAAGGAUACCCUUGAGCCAACCACUGGGAGCAUCUCCUGAAGCGCUGAGGAUAGACUGAACAGCCAAAGCAUGGAAGUUAGGGCAGAGGUGACUGUAUGUGCAGCAGCUUCCCCUCGUCACCUGAAUCUUCAGUAUUGUUUGUGCAGGAAAUGGAGGAUCAAGAAUCAAGAUUCUUUCCCUUCAUUUACCAAUUAUUAUAGCAAUCAGUUGGUUCCCUAGCAUCCUCCAAAGGAAACAAAUGGGGCUCUUUUUUUUUUUUAGA
rnacentral:lncRNA from 1 species